rnacentral:rRNA from 1 species
AAAAGUCGUAACAAGGCAUCCGUAGAAGAGCCGGCGGAAGGAUCAUUAUCGUACNNNNNNGGCACGAGGGCNGUCGCUGACUUUUUGUCGUGACNCCGAGUGCUCUCACACAAUCCAUCUCACCCCUAUGUGCACCACCGCGUGGGUCCCUCUUUGGCUCGUUCCGAGGGGGGUCGCGUUUUCACACAAACUCGAAGCAGUGUAGAAUGUCAUUUUUUGCGAUUACGCGCAAUCAAUACAACUUUCAACAACGGAUCUCUUGGCUCUCGCAUCGAUGAAGAACGCAGCGAAAUGCGAUACGUAAUGUGAAUUGCAGAAUUCAGUGAAUCAUCGAAUCUUUGAACGCACCUUGCGCCCCUUGGCAUUCCGAGGGGCACACCCGUUUGAGUGUCGUGAAAUUCUCAAAAACCCUUCCUUUGGUGGAAAGGAUUUUGGACUUGGAGGCCUUUUGCUGGUUUCACCUUGAAGCGAGCUCCUCCCAAAUGGAUUAGUGGGGUCUGCUUUGCCGGUCCUAGACGUGAUAAGAUGUUUCUACGUCUUGGGUUUCUGCACUGUACCUCUGCUUCUAACCGUCUCAUUGACAAUGAUGGUGUUCCGGUCACCGCCGAUUUAUCGGUUGGGAGGCUUGACCCACAAAACGACCUUGACCUCAAAUCGGGUGAGACUACCCGCUGAACUUAAGCA